rnacentral:rRNA from 1 species
CCUACGGGUGGCAGCAGUGGGGAAUAUUGCGCAAUGGGCGAAAGCCUGACGCAGCGACGCCGCGUGAGGGAUGAAGGUCUUCGGAUCGUAAACCUCUGUCAGCAGGGAAGAACGGUCACUGUGCUAAUCAGCAGUGAAUUGACGGUACCUGCAAAGGAAGCACCGGCUAACUCCGUGCCAGCAGCCGCGGUAAUACGGAGGGUGCGAGCGUUAAUCGGAAUUACUGGGCGUAAAGCGCUCGUAGGCGGUAUGUCAAGUCAAGGGUGAAAUCCCCGCGCUCAACGUGGGAACUGCCUUUGAAACUGGCAGACUGGAGUGUGUGAGAGGAUAGUGGAAGUCCAGGUGGAGGAGUGAAAUCCGUAGAUAUCUGGAGGAACAUCAGUGGCGAAGGCGACUAUCUGGCACAUAACUGACGCUGAGGAGCGAAAGCGUGGGUAGCAAACAGGAUUAGAUACCCUAGUAGUC